UACGAACGCUGGCGGCGUGCUUAACACAUGCAAGUCGAACGGAAAGGCCCUGCUUUUGUGGGGUGCUCGAGUGGCGAACGGGUGAGUAACACGUGAGUAACCUGCCCUUGACUUUGGGAUAACUUCAGGAAACUGGGGCUAAUACCGGAUAGGAGCUCCUGCUGCAUGGUGGGGGUUGGAAAGUUUCGGUGGUUGGGGAUGGACUCGCGGCUUAUCAGCUUGUUGGUGGGGUAGUGGCUUACCAAGGCUUUGACGGGUAGCCGGCCUGAGAGGGUGACCGGCCACAUUGGGACUGAGAUACGGCCCAGACUCCUACGGGAGGCAGCAGUGGGGAAUAUUGCACAAUGGGCGGAAGCCUGAUGCAGCAACGCCGCGUGCGGGAUGACGGCCUUCGGGUUGUAAACCGCUUUCGCCUGUGACGAAGCGUGAGUGACGGUAAUGGGUAAAGAAGCACCGGCUAACUACGUG
rnacentral:rRNA from 1 species